GGAGGGGCUGCUUGGGGGCUUCCAGGAGUGAGCAUGUGCGGACGGCUGGCUGCAGGCGGCCCGGCGGGCUGUAACCCGCCGCUGGACUGGCGCUUUCGUGUCCGGAGGCUUCGGCCUGGCCGCUGUCGCCUAUAAGCUACGAGGAGGAGCUUUACGACUUGGCCGGGCGCAGCAAAGGCCAGACUUUGCGCGAACAGGCGCUCCGCACCAACCGGCCGGCACCUGGCGGGCACCAUCGCACGGUGGCGCAGAAGCUCCUCAAUGGCCAGCGCCAGCUGCAGCAGCGGCCGCGCACUCGCCUCACCUGAACUUGGGCGAAUGUGCAUUGGGAAAGUCGACGUUAAUCAACUCAUUAUUCCUCAUAGAUUUGUAUUCUGCAGAAUAUCCAGGUCCUUCUCACAGAAUUAAAAAGACUGUACAGCUGGCAGCCUGUUAUCGAUUAUAUUGAUAGUAAAUUUGAGGACUACCCAAAUGCAGAAUCAUGCACGAACAGACAUCAGAUGCCUGAUAACAGGGUGCAGUGUUGUUUUUCCUUCAUUGCUUCUUCAGGACAUCGACCAUUACAUAAAUGAAGACUCCCACCUUCAAGCAGGAUUGCGUAGUACAUGUUUGUAACUACUUCACAUUGCCUUUUGUUGAGACAAACCAUUGGAUAUUGAGUUUAUGAAGCGUUUGCAUGUAAAAGUGAAUAUCAUCCCACUUAUUGUCAAAGCAGACACACUCACACCAGAGGAAUGCCAACAGUUUAAAAAACAGAAAUCCAAGAACAUAAAAUAUAUGAAUUUCCAGAAACAGAUGAUGAAGAAGAAAAUAAACUUGUUAAAAAGAUAAAGUACCGUUUACCUCUUGCUGUGGUGGGUAGUAAUACUAUCAUUGAAGUUAAUGGCAAAAGGGUCAGAGGAAGGCAGUAUCCUUGGAGUGUUGCUGAAGGAAGAUAAAGCUUCUGAGAUACCCUUGGACACACAGCAACUCCCUCCCCACCAACCCCUACCUAAAGUAACACAGCUUCUGGGGAAAAUCUAUAGUGGGGGUUCAUCAUGAAUGAUCCUUCUUCCUGGAUUUUCAGGAUAUCUUCAUAUUUCUAUAAAAUGUUUCUGUAAACAUUUUAUGAGAACUAGUUGAGCACCCAGUAUGUGUUUGCUCUCAAGCAAAGGGCUGAGAAAAAUGCAAAAGUAAUGUAAUUCAUGAUCUCUGCUCUCAAAGACACUGCAACCAAGCUGAGUGGACCAGGCUAUGACUGACAAAACAACUGGAGAAGAAGCAUGUUCAAAAUACUCAGGUGCUAACGAUAAGUGCAAAGAAGAGUUCAGAAAAAUUAAAAGGCAUGUGAACGGAUGCUGGACGCUGCAAAAGCUUGCGUGGAGUGCUGAGGCUUGUGCUGGGAACUAAGGAAUGGAUAGAAUUCAGUAGCCAGAGGAGACAGAGCCCUCAGAACAGGAUAAAGACAAUUGUCAGAGGUUGGAUAGGAAUAGUCUUACUCUGUAUCCUCAUCCUGCUUUAUUUUUCUUCAUAGCUCUUAAAACAACCAGGUAUACUUGUAUGUAAUCAUAAUACGUCUCCAGCUGAGAUGUAUGAUCAGGAACUUUGUUUCCCUCACUGGCGUAGGCACAACACAAAGGAAUAGUGCCGCCUGGCACAUAGUAGAUGCUUGAUAAACAUUUGUUGAAGGAAGAAAUGAGCAAGAAAAAAUGAGAGAAGAAGAGACAAAGAGAAAGAGGGAAGAUAUGACAAAGAGAGGGAGGCGGUGAAUGUGUGGGCUGAGAAAACUGAAGAGAACAGUCUGAAUAGAGCAAGGCAUGUGUGCUAGAGAAGGUGAAAACACAUACGGAGUGGUUAAUACUAACAACACUCAUAAGAGAAGUAAUCUUUACAACCAGUAACCAGGAGUUAGUCUAAGUAAAGGAGCUAUAAGGCAUUCUGUGUAAUGAGCUCGUUUAGAUCAAAGUACCUAAUUUAGGCCUGAAAACAUAGCAGGGACUCAAGAAAUGUCAGCUAUUCCUUCUUGCUAUUUACAUGUUUAAGUUUUAAAGCUAGAUAGCUCAAGCCUCACUUUAAUUGUAAAGAUGUUUCAUGACAUUUGUUUAUAAAUUCUUUAAAAAAUUGAGAUAAAAGUCCUUUACUCUAGAAAAUCUUUGUCAUAUAGAGUCUUCAUAUCUGGCUUAUUCUGUUAGGUCGCACACUGGUUUAUAGAAUUUCUUAGCUUCCUACAGUGGCUCGUGCGACACUUUAUUGACCACUUACAAAGACAUUAAGACCCAGGCAUAAUAUUUAGCUCUUCUUAAGGUGAGAAAUUCAAUUUGAUAAAAUGUUGGAGUUGUAGAACUCUUGGAUAUUAUCCAGUCCAAUCCCUUAAAUUAAAACAAACAAAAAUUUAGAGAGACUACUGUUUAUCUAACGAGAACGUAACUUCCCUGGUUCACAGAACUGCUUUUUCUGCCACAUUCUCUGCCAGUAGUAUCUUGAGUAAACUUUCACCAAUGUUACCUCAAAGUGUCACUAU